rnacentral:tRNA from 1 species
GGGGUUGUGGCUCAGUGGGAGAGCACUUGCCUUGCAUGUGUGAGGUCCUGGGUUCGAUUCUCAGCACCA